AGUGAACGCUGGCGGUAGGCCUAACACAUGCAAGUCGAACGGCAGCACAGGAGAGCUUGCUCUCUGGGUGGCGAGUGGCGGACGGGUGAGGAAUACAUCGGAAUCUACCUUUUCGUGGGGGAUAACGUAGGGAAACUUACGCUAAUACCGCAUACGACCUACGGGUGAAAGUGGGGGACCGCAAGGCCUCACGCGAUUAGAUGAGCCGAUGCCCGAUUAGCUAGUUGGCGGGGUAAUGGCCCACCAAGGCGACGAUCGCUAGCUGGUCGGCGAGGAUGAGCAGCCACACUGGAACUGAGACACAGUCCAGACUCCUAUGGGAGGCAGCAGUGGGGUAUAUUGGACAAUGGGCGCAAGCCUGAUCCAGCCAUACCGCGUGGGUGAAGAAGGCCUUCGGGUUGUAAAGCCCUUUUGUUGGGAAAGAAAUCCUGUCGAUUAAUACUCGGUGGGGAUGACGGUACCCAAAGAAUAAGCACCGGCUAACUUCGUGCCAGCAGCCGCGGUAAAAC
rnacentral:rRNA from 1 species